ACACUAGGUGAGUGUUGGUCGA
rnacentral:siRNA from 1 species